rnacentral:rRNA from 1 species
AGAAUCAACGCUGGCGGCGUGCCUAACACAUGCAAGUCGAACGAGAAAGUGGAGCAAUCCACGAGUAAAGUGGCGCACGGGUGAGUAACACGUGACUAACCUACCCUUGAGUGGGGGAUAACCUAGGGAAACCUGGGCUAAUACCGCAUAAUACCUACGGGUCAAAGGAGCAAUUCGCUUAAGCGAGGGGGUCGCGGCCGACUAGUUAGUUGGCGGGGUAAUGGCCCACCAAGACGAUGAUCGGUAU